CAAUGUUACACAACUAUGAAGUGGCAGAGCUGGAUUUUGAACCUGAGCUUAUCUGAGUUCAGAGUCCAUGCACGCAACUAACCAAUGGACUAUUUGCAAGUCAGGUCAUGGAAAGGCAUGAUAGCAUAGUGUGGCUCAAGGCACAGAGCAUAUGGAAAGCAGGAAUGACAGCUGUGGCUGAAUUACGGAGCAUCUUAUUGACUUGUAAGACAAUGAAAGCAAUGAAACCCAUCAUACAGAAGUACUCCUACUUCCAUACCGUAGCCAGAGGGUUCACAAAAAUCCUGCAGAUGAAUAAAUUUUGAGUCUGCUGAGAGGAGGAGUGUCAGAGCCUGAACACUUGUCAAGAGAUUGAGAAGGGACAGGACAUACUGCUGGAUUGAAUGUGUAAAUCAUUCACCUCAGGGCAUGGAGGCCUCCUGUUUCUCCUGGCUUUCUCCAGCCACCUGGGUCCUGGCCUUGCUUCACUAACCCAAGCAUCCAUAAUAUUAGGACAAACACUUAUUCUACCCACUCCCUGACACAAUUGGGUAAAGGAGAAUUAAGGAACCAAAUCACUUAGCUGCUCAAAUGAGAUAUUAUAACUAACGAUGAUUUUCCCAUGGCUUCCAUAUACUACUUUUAUCUCCUACCUCUGGACUUCGAGAUCGUUUAGAGUGAUACCUACCUUAUUAAACCAUCAUAUGUUUUAGCCAGUACUUUUCUCCAUUAAUCUUAUUCUUUCCACCUUAACCUUAAAAAGGAUUCCUCAAAAUUUGUUAUGCAAAUUAUAUUUCUUAUUUUACAUUUUUGUUGUUGAGAUAUUAAUUUCAAAAAUAUUUUUCCUGUCAUUUACGGGGAUUUGGAGAGAAAAUCAGACAUGUGAGCCCAGUCUAUCUUUAGUCACUUUGCAUAGGAAUAGGCUAGCUAUGGACCUAUUUCCUCUCUCCCAACUAUAAUCCAAGCUGAAAUACAGAAACAAUUUUCUAAGAAGUGCCUCACGCAGAUUUUUAAAUUGUGAGCAAAGUUGAGCAAUCCAUAAGAUGAUGGUUUGUGAAGAAUGUUCUGGGCCCAAAGGGAAGGAUUCUAAUAGACUAUAAAACAUGACCCACAAUUAUUUUUAAAAUUUGCUGAAUCUAGAUACAGUGCAGAAUGUACCAAAUUUUUAGAUGCUUUGUAGGCUGAUUGUCCUCAUGGAACAUUGAUUUAAGGGGCCUGUAUUUAGAGCUUCUAUUUAAAAAGAAUAAAGAAAGGCAUAAUUUUAAAAUUCAAACUUGUAAACAUCCAAGGCUUAAAAAUUCAGCUUUUUCCACAGAUCAGAGCUUGUCAAUUUAAGAUCAGAUAUGAAUCCAAUGUGUUAAGUAUGUUAAGGCAAGAAUUUUUAAUGGAGUCAUGUCAUAUUGGAAAUAGUACUGGUCUGGCAGUCCGAUGGCGGUGGGAAAAAAGUGUUUGGCAGCAUCAGAAUGGCUUCAUUAAAGACAAAAGGAGACAUGAUUUGCAGCUGAAAAUUUCAGAUUCACUAUAAAAUUAAAAUACACGCCUGAUGGGUUCUCAUCUAAUAAAACUGAGAGUGGGUGUUUUCUUUCCUAAAGGCAAAACAACUUAAUAAAAUUAAUCUAUAGUGUGCAAAAUGCUUAGGUACUACAAAAUUUCAGUGAUGCAUUUUUCAUUAAAUGAGUGGGUAAAUAUAAUUGUCUAUGCAAGAAAGUUUGAGUUCUUAUUCUAAUGACUCAUCAGUGUCGGGGAGACAGAGGAGGGGGCAUUAUUUUGUUGUGGUUCCCAUGACUGGAUGAAGAGGGAUGGUUUGAGUUCCAUUUGAGCUGGAUCUAACAGGACUCUUCCAGGACUCAUUUAUUCUUCUCAGAUACCUUAGCCCCAACGUGAAGGGCUAGGUAAACCCUUUACUAUCUCCAUCUAGGUUUGCCAGUAUAUGUAGAACACUAUUGUUGUGCGAAAGCCAACUGAGCCAGGGAAAAGGGAGCUAGGCUAGAGCCUGGCCUUUGUAUUAGUGUCAUGGUUUGCAGAGUAAUCCUAACAAGGAAAAGAACAGGCCAGGGGCAGAAC
ensembl:lncRNA